rnacentral:pre_miRNA from 1 species
CUAAUACUCCCUCCGUCCGGAAAUACUUGUCGAAAAAAUGGAUAAAAAUGAAUGUAUCUAGAACUAAGAUAUGUCUAGAUACAUCCAUUCCUCCGACAAGUAUUUCCGGACGGAGGGAGUACCUG